UACGGGGGGGGCAAGCGUUGUUCGGAAUUAUUGGGCGUAAAGCGCGUGUAGGCGGCUUUGCAAGUCGGGUGUGAAAGCCCUCAGCUUAACUGAGGAAGUGCGCCCGAAACUGCAGAGCUUGAGUACCGGAGAGGAUGGUGGAAUUCCCCAAGUAGAGGUGAAAUUCGUAGAUAUGGGGAGGAACACCGGUGGCGAAGGCGACCAUCUGGACGGAUACUGACGCUGAGACGCGAAAGCGUGGGUAGCAAACAGG
rnacentral:rRNA from 1 species